AACGAACGCUGGCGGCAUGCCUAACACAUGCAAGUCGAACGAGACCUUCGGGUCUAGUUGCGCACGGGUGCGUAACGCGUGGUAACCUGCCCUUAGGUUCGGAAUAACUCCCCGAAAGGGGUGCUAAUACCGGAUAAUGUCUUCGGACCAAAGAUUUAUCGCCUUUGGAUGGGCCCGCGUUGGAUUAGCUAGUUGGUAGGGUAAAAGCCUACCAAGGCGACGAUCCAUAGCUGGUCUGAGAGGAUGAUCAGCCACACUGGGACUGAGACACGGCCCAGACUCCUACGGGAGGCAGCAGUGGGGAAUAUUGGACGAUGGGGGAAAGCCUGAUCCAGCAAUGCCGCGUGAGUGAUGAAGGGCUUAGGGUUGUAAAGCUCUUUUACCCGGGAUGAUAAUGACAGUACCGGGAGAAUAAGCUCCGGCUAACUCCGUG
rnacentral:rRNA from 1 species